GGCUGAAGACUUACCCGACUUAGCUGAGAGGUGGUGGCAUGGCCGUCGUCAGUUGUACUGUGAAGCAUCCUGUUAAGUCAGGCAACGAGCGAGACCCACGUCCACAGUUGCCAGCAUACCCUCCCGGGGUGAUGGGUACACUGUGGAGACCGCCGCUGCUAAAGCGGAGGAAGGAGUGGGCAACGGUAGGUCAGUAUGCCCCGAAUCUCCUGGGCUACACGCGGGCUACAAUGGUUGGUACAAUGGGCAUCUACCCCGAAAGGGGAAGGAAAUCUCUUAAAGCCAAUCGUAGUUCGGAUUGAGGGCUGCAACUCGCCCUCAUGAAGCUGGAAUCCGUAGUAAUCGCGUUUCAACAGAACGCGGUGAAUACGUCCCUGCUCCUU
rnacentral:rRNA from 1 species